rnacentral:rRNA from 1 species
AUUGAACGCUGGCGGCAUGAUUUACACAUGCAAGUCGAACGGUAACAGGCCGCAAGGUGCUGACGAGUGGCGAACGGGUGAGUAGUGCAUCGGAACGUGCCCAGUCGUGGGGGAUAACUACUCGAAAGAGUAGCUAAUACCGCAUACGAUCUAUGGAUGAAAGCGGGGGACCGUAAGGCCUCGCGCGAUUGGAGCGGCCGAUGUCAGAUUAGGUAGUUGGUGGGGUAAAGGCUCACCAAGCCAACGAUCUGUAGCUGGUCUGAGAGGACGACCAGCCACACUGGGACUGAGACACGGCCCAGACUCCUACGGGAGGCAGCAGUGGGGAAUUUUGGACAAUGGGCGCAAGCCUGAUCCAGCAAUGCCGCGUGCAGGAAGAAGGCCUUCGGGUUGUAAACUGCUUUUGUACGGAACGAAACGGCUCUGGUUAAUACCCGGGGCUAAUGACGGUACCGUAAGAAUAAGCACCGGCUAACUACGUG